UACGGAGGAUCCAAGCGUUAUCCGGAUUUAUUGGGUUUAAAGGGUGCGUAGGCGGCCUAUUAAGUCAGGGGUGAAAGACGGUAGCUUAACUAUCGCAGUGCCUUUGAUACUGAUGGGCUUGAAUGGACUAGAGGUAGGCGGAAUGUGACAAGUAGCGGUGAAAUGCAUAGAUAUGUCACAGAACACCAAUUGCGAAGGCAGCUUACUAUGGAUUAAUUGACGCUGAGGCACGAAAGCGUGGGGAUCAAACAGG
rnacentral:rRNA from 1 species